rnacentral:misc_RNA from 1 species
GAUGAAGAACGUAGUGAAAUGCGAUACUUGGUGUGAAUUGCAGAAUCCCGUGAACCAUCGAGUCUUUGAACGCAAGUUGCGCCCGAAGCCAUUAGGCCGAGGGCACGCCUGCCUGGGCGUCACACGUCGUUGCCCCCCCAUCUACUCCUUCGGGAUUGCGGGGGGCGGAUGAUGGCCUCCCGUGCGCCUCGCCGCGCGGUUGGCAUAAAUGCCAAGUCCUCGGCGACGCACGCCACGACAAUCGGUGGUUGCGAAACCUCGGUUGCCCGUCGUGUGCGGUCGUCGCGCAUCGAGGGCUCGAAAAAAUUGCCGGGUUCCGGCUCGGCUUUCAACGCGACCCCAGGGCAGGCGGGGUUACCCGCUGAAUUUAAGCAUAUCAAUAAGCGGAGGA